rnacentral:rRNA from 1 species
GACGAACGCUGGCGGCGUGCUUAACACAUGCAAGUCGAGCGGCGCGGCGAACGGGUGAGUAACGCGUGAGUAACUGCCCCCCUCUCUGGGCUUACAGUUGGCAACGGCUGCUAAUACCGGAUAGUGGGGGAUGACUCGCGGCUUAUCAGCUUGUUGGUGGGGUAGUGGCCUCCCAAGGCGACGACGGGCAGCCGGCCUGCGAGGGCGACCGGCCACAUUGGGCUGAGGUACGACCCGAACUGCGACUGGAGGCAGCGGUGGGGAAUAGAGCACGAUGGGGGAAACCCUGCUGCAGGAACGCCGCGUGCGAGAUGCCGGCCUUCGGGUUGUAAACCGCUUUCAGCCAUAACGCGGUAGUGGCAGAAGAAGCACCGGCUAACUACGUGCCAGCAGCCGCGGUAAUAC